GUGUUUGCUUUGGCAAUACAUAUACUAAAAUUGGAACAAUACAGAUAUUAGCAUGGCCCUUGUGCAAGGAUGACAUGCAUAUUUUUGAAGUGUUCUGUAUUUUG